rnacentral:lncRNA from 1 species
UAAUAAUAUCAGCAUAUACUUACAUAGUUCUUUAUACAUGUCAGGUACUAUCCUAGAUGCUUAACAGAUAUUCACUCAUUUAAUCCUCACAACAACUCUGUGAGGUAGGCACAAUUAUUACGUCCCUCUGAAAGAUGGGAAAACAGACACAGAGAGGUUAAGAUAUUUGCCAACGUCGUAGAGGUAGGCCUUGGGACACUCUGGAAACACUCCUUGGUUGUUAGAGACAUGUGAGUGAAAAGUUUGAAAUAAACUUCUUACAUAAUAAGGCUUAGAGAACAAAAACCAAAAUCUAGGAAUAUAUUUGUUUUGUGCAGUGGUGCGAUCUCAGCUUACUGCAACCUCCGUCUCCCAGUUUCAAGUGAUUCUCCUGCCUCAGCCUCCUGAGUAGCUGGGACUAUUGUAUCCAUCACCAUGCCCAACUUAUUAUUAUAAUUAUUAUUUUUGUAUUUUUAGUAGAGAUGGGGUUUCACCAUGUUGCCCAGACUGGUCUUGAACUCCUGACCUCAAGUGGUCCACCCUCCUUGGCCUCCCAAAGUGCUGAGAUUACAGGUGUGAGCCAUCACACCCGGCCAUAUGUUUGUAAACAGAGGAUGUUUAUUGUGUUUGAGAUGAUACAUCAGGUGCUCUCUGAGCUACAAAGGGUAAAAGGAAAUCCUCUCAUUACAAACUGACAAAGGUAAAUGUACCACAUUUUCUCUAUCCAGUCUAUCUUUGAUGGGCGUUUAGGUUGAUUUAAUGUCUUCUUUGCUAUUGUGAAUAGUGCUGCAAUGAAUAUACACAUGUAUGUGUCUUUAUAGUAGAAUGAUUUAUGUUCCUUUGAGUGUAUAUCCUGUAAUGGGAUUGCUGGGUCCAAUGGUAUUUCUAUUUUUAGGUCUUUGAGGAAUCACCACACUGUCUUCCACAAUGGUUGAACUAAUUUACAUUCCCACCAACAGUGUAUGCUUUUUUUCAUUUAGCUGUUUUUUAAUUUUAAAUUCAUUUUAAUCAAUGAGAACAUUUAAAAUAGUAUUACUAGACAUAAAAAGACAGUGCCCUGUCCCUUUUGAUUUUUGCUUUCUUGAAAACCAUUACAG